UACGUAGGCAGCGAGCGUUUGUUCGGAGUUACUGGGCGUAAAGGGUGUGUAGGCGGUUCUCUAAGUUUGGUGUGAAAUCUCCCGGCUCAACCGGGAGGGUGCGCCGAAAACUGGAGGGCUAGAGUGCGGGAAGGGGAGAGUAGAAUUCCUGGUGUAGCGGUGAAAUGCGUAGAUAUCAGGAGGAAUACCGGUGGUGUAGACGGCUCUCUGGACCGCGACUGACGCUGAGACACGAAAGCGUGGGUAGCAAACAGG
rnacentral:rRNA from 1 species